GGUCCGGUAGCUCAGUUGGAUAGAGCAACAGCCUUCUAAGCUGUGGGUCCCGGGUUCGACUCCCGGCCGGAUCA
rnacentral:tRNA from 1 species